CGCGUUCACACCAAGCGAGUCGCGUCGCGUCAAGUCAAGAGCGUCAUUUGAUGCGAUUCAUUUUGACUCAUCUCCGUUCACACCGACUGCGUCAGCCCGCGUCAAGUCAGCACUCAGUGACCUGGGUAAUUUCAUGGAGAAUGGAUGCAUGUUCCCUGGCUGAAGUAGCUGCUUUGUUGUGGCUUCGUCGUCGCAGACGUAAGAAGAAACAACGAAUAUGGAUCCAUGAACUGAACAUCAAGAGGCCAGAUUUUGGAAACUUCUCUCAUCUAUUCCCAGACCUGGUGAACCAUCCAGAAAAAUUCUACAACUACUUUAGGAUGACACAUGAAAAUUUUAAGAAGCUGGUGGAGUUGACUGGAUCUUCCAUAAAGAAAAUUAACACAAACUACAGGGGUGCAGUUGGAGUUGAAGAAAGAAUGACCAUUUUUUUAAGGUAAGAAGUAUUUUAUUGAACAUUACAAUAAUCAUUCCAUUAUUAGGCUUCUGUGUAGGGCAAUAGUAAAUAAAUAUAACAUAAAGACAGCUCAUGUAUAUGGGAGGGCUUUCUCGAACUAAAUUUAUCAGGAAUUCCACUUCCAUCAUGCUCCCGCAACGACGGACUCGCUGUGACUGAUGUAGAAAAUGGGUCCAGCCCUAUCUGUGACUCGACGCGACGCGACGCGCCGUGACUUGACGCGACGCGACUCGCUUGGUGUGAACGGUUUUUUCAAAUAUACAUACAAAUUAAUGUUAAACUCGGGUGGCGAUUCAUGACGCAUGAUGACUUGCCUUGACUUGACGCGACGCGACUCGCUUGGUGUGAACGCGGCCCUAGGGCUGGGCCUAUUUUUGACGUCAGUCACAGCGAGUCUGCCGUGGUGUCUGCAAGUAUACUGGUAGAAGACCUAAUCAACUUAGUUCGAGAGCGCCCUGCUAUUUAUGAUCCCAGUAACCCCAACCACCGGGAUCGUGAUGUCAUUGCUUCCCUAUGGAAGGAGGUUGCUGCUGCAUUGUCGUGUACAGAACCCGAAUGUAAGGACAAAUGUCGCCACCUAAGAAGCAAUUUUAUGAGGGAAAGAAGAAAGAAUAGUGAAAAACCAUCUGGAUCAGGUAAUACACAGGCAAGGAGGUGGGUGUACUACGAUGCCAUGCAAUUUCUGAUCCCUUAUGUGACGCCACGACCAACAUCUUCAAACGUCCCUAAACCUCCUGAUGAAGACACCUGUCAUGAAACGGAAGAUGCAGAUCAAGAUUCUUCACUUUUUGCUGUCAUCGAAGCAUCCGAAAAUGCAUCUCCUCAAGAGGCUGCCAGUAACGUCAAAACUUGUGAGGAUCGCAGCAAUGACAAGCCUAUUCUUCCCAAAUCAAAGAAGCCUUGUAUCGCAAAAAAAAAAAUAGCAAGGCCAGUGCAGAUGAGAUAGAUUUGCUUUUCUUAGACAAAAUAAAACAACUGAGAGGAAAAGCGUCGUCACAAAAUGACGGAGAUCGCCAGUUUUUGUUAAGCCUGCUGCCUAUGAUGAAACAACUGUCGCCAAUUGACAACAUGGACAUAAGAAUUGAAAUAUAUGAAGCCUUUCGUAGGAAGAUGUUCAAGCCCGCACCCUCUGUCCAGUAUGGGUACUGGACUGAACAUAAUCAAUCACAUACACCAACACCGUCACCAGGUACAGAAUAAUGAACAGUUUUUUAACCUCUGAGAAGUAAUUUAGAUGAUCAUGUUUCACUCACCAUCAGGAAUGCAUUACUGCCAUCAGCUCACUAAUUUACUAUUGCCGUACGUGUAAUGAUUUUUGAAAUGUUCAAUAAAAAUACCUCUUACCUUAAAAAAAUGGCCAUUCUUUCUUCCGUUCCUAUUGCACGCCUGUAGUUAGUGUUAAUUUUCCUAAUGGAAGGUCCAACCAACUCCACGAGCUUCUUGAAGUUUUCAUUUGUCAUCCUAAAAAUGUUGUAGAAUUUUUCUGGAUGGUUUACCAGGUCUGGGAAUAAAUGACUGAAGCUACCGAAAUCUGGCCUCCUGGUGUUCAGAUGAUGCAUCCAGAUUCGAGUUUUAUUUUUACGUCUGCGACGACGAAGCCAGAGCAAUGCAGUUACUACAGCAAGAGAAUAUGCGUCCAUUCUCCCUGAAAUCAAAUGGGUCACUGUGUAGUGACUUGACUCGGGUUGACGCAUUCGGUGUAAACGGAGAUACGUCGAAAUGAAUCGCUUCAAAUGACUUGAUGCGACUCGACUCGACGCGACUCGCUCGGUGUAAACGCAGCGUAAAGGCUGCAAAAGUUGUGUUGUGCCUUGCCACCAGGAUUUGGACGGGAAAUCAUACAUACAAAUCAAAUCAGUAUUUUUCAACUUGUAUAAGAGGUGAGAAGCUGUCUCUGGGACGAAUGUAUGGGUGGACGAGAUCACGUCCACAUAUACAUGCGUAUGUACGUACAUAUAAAUGUGCAUAUAGAUGAAGGGGAAGCAAUAGACUGUAUCAGGUGAAAGAUGACCUGAUUUAUCUUAGUAACCUUUAAUUGAC